UUUACCCCCAUUGCUCUGCUUAGGUGUGAGGAAUAUACACUCCUUUUUAGUUGGGCUUAUGAGUGUGAUCACCAGGAAAGCACACGUUGGUGCUUGCUCCUUUGUUUCGUUUUGUUUGGUAAUAGUGCAGCCAAGACUGGCUUUGAGCCACUGAUUGGCAGGCAGCCUCUGUCUCCCACCUGUUUGGAUUGUAGGCAUGCACUACCUACAUGCCUAGUUUGACACUCUCUCUCUCUCUCUCUCUCUCUCUCUCUCUCUCUCACUCUCUCUCUCUUUCUCUCUCUCUCUCUCAGAAGUAUUUAUUUUAUGUAUAUGAGUACACAUUAGCUGUCUUCAAAAUUACCAGAAGAAGUAAGCCACCAUGUGCUUGCUGGGAAUUGAACUUAGGACCUUUGCAUGAGCAAGUCAGUGCUCUGCUGAGACAUCUCUCCAGCCGCCCCCCCCCCCAAUUUAUUUAACUUUUAUUUUCUUUCCGUUGGUGUGAGGAUGUCAGAUCCCCUGAAACUGGAGUCACAGACGGUUGUAAGCUGCCAUGUAAGUGCUGGGAAUUGAACCUGGGUCCUCUGGAAAAGUAACCAGUUCUCUUUACUGCUGAGCUGUCUCUCCAGUCUCUUGACCACCAUGUCUGCCUGCAUGAUGCCAUGUUUCCUGCCGUGAUGAUAAUGGACUGAAACUCUGAAACUGCAAAUGGAUGGCCUUUGAGAAUAUCAUCCUGAGUGAGACAACCCAGUCCCAAAAAGACACGUGGGGAGCCUAGCAUGGCUGUCCUCUGAGAAGCUCUACCCAGCAACUGAUCCAGACAUAUGCAGACACCCACAUCCAAACAGAGGAUGGAUGCUGGGGACUCUUAUGGACUAAUAAGAGGAAGAAUUGCAGCCCCUAAGGGAUAGAGACUCUACAACAAGGCCAACAAAAUCAACUAACCUGGACCCUUGGGGGUCUCAGAGACUGAACCACCAACCAAAGAGCAUACACCGGCUGGACCUAGGUCUCUCCGCACACAUGUAGCAGAUGUGUAGCUUGGUCUCCAUGUGGGUUCCAAACAACUGGAGCUGAGGCUAUCCCAAAAGCUGUUGCCUGUAUGUGGAAAUACGUUCAAGCCAGGCUGCUUUGUCUGGCCUCAGUGGGAGAGGAUGGGCCUAGCCUCAUAGAGUCUUGAUGUGCCACGGUAGGGGGAUACCAGGGAAGUCCCCACCUGUUCAGAGGAGACGAUAAGGGCAGAUGGAGAAGGAUUGUUGGAGGGGGUGACUGGGAGGGAGGCAGUGAGCAGAAUGUAAAAUGAAAAGUAACAACAACAACAACAGCAACAACUACAACAACAUUAGAAAUUAUCUGAGUGUGAAGAAAAACGUUGCCUUAGUCAUGAUGUCUUUUCACAGCAAUGGAAACUCUAAGACAGGCUCUCACUGUAAACUGAUGAAGUGGUUUCCACUAUAGAACAGAUUAAUAGACUUUAUUAAUUUGUAGAGGGAAAUAAGUACAUCUGUUAAAGAAAUCCCCCAAAUUUGUAGAGCUGUUGGUAUUAACUUCUAAGCCGAGUGUGUUCUGGUGCCUGUGUAUUAUCCUAGCUCACAAGAGGAGCACACAGUUCAAAGGUGGCUUGAGCUAUGUAGCGACGUGUCUCAGGCAAACAGCUGAUCUUUUGAAAAAGCUACAUUUGUUUUUGCUAUUUUUGUUGUUGUUGCUUUGGAGAAGCUACAUUUUAUUGGGGAAAAUGUUCUUAAAUGAGUUGCUUGCUCAGAUCUUUAAACAUCCAAAGGUCAGGCCAACGGCAGUGGUGCACACCUUUGAUUGUAGCACUCAGGGGUCAAAGGCUGGUGGAUGUCUGUGAAUUUGAGGCUAGUCUGGCCUACUUAGUGAGUUCCAGGUGCUCCAGGGUCCCCUAGUGAGUAAAAAAAGAGCAACAAACAAAACAAAACAACACAACAACAAAACAAAACAAAGAACUUGCUAGCCCUCUUUAUUGGCUUUCUGGUGUCGU